rnacentral:rRNA from 1 species
ACUUGCUUUCUUUGCCGGCGACCGGCGGCACGGGUGAGUAACACGUAUCCAACCUGCCCUUUACUCGGGGAUAGCCUUUCGAAAGAAAGAUUAAUACCCGAUGGCAUAAUGAUUCCGCAUGGUUUCAUUAUUAAAGGAUUCCGGUAAAGGAUGGGGAUGCGUUCCAUUAGGUUGUUGGUGAGGUAACGGCCCACCAAGCCUUCGAUGGAUAGGGGUUCUGAGAGGAAGGUCCCCCACAUUGGAACUGAGACACGGUCCAAACUCCUACGGGAGGCAGCAUA